ACCAGAGUGGCCAAAUGGGGCAGACUGUAAAUCUGCUGGCUUACGCCUUCGGUGGUUCGAAUCCAUCACUACCCA
rnacentral:tRNA from 2 species